AGAGGGGUAGCUCAGUGGUAGAGUGCAUGCUUAGCAUGGAUGAAGUCCUGAGUUCAAUCCCCAGUGCCUCCA
rnacentral:tRNA from 1 species